CCCCCACUCUCCACUCCCACGCUCCCCGUGCAGCCGCCGCCUCUCCCCAUCCUCCCAUCUCGCAGGAGCCGCCGCUCCCCGGUUCUUUCCCUGCCCUCUGAGGAGCCCCCAUCCCAUCCUCGCACCAGAGCUCGGUGGCAGCGGAGAAGAGGAUCGAUGGUGGGAGAGGAUGGGAGAUUGAGGAGAGAGAGAACCGAUGCAGAGGAGAGGGGAGACAAGGUGGGCAGAGGCCAGGCGUCGUCACCAGAGACGCGGAUCUGCGGCGUAGUGGGAGAGGUGACGCCGGCUGGUGAGCGACUCACCACCAGCUACUGUUUGGCGCGGGCAUGGAGAAGGGUACCGGGGAUGUGCUGAUCUAUUUUCUUGUGGCUCUCCAUUAGCAUGAUUCCCCUCGACGACCAUAUCAAUCCGGCUGCCUUCUGUACAUGUGAUUUUGGUUGAGGCAAAUGAUAGAAAAUGGCGCGGACGAGAGAUGAUGUUGGGAAGUAAACCAUAUGACAAACAGGCAAUCAACAAGAAAACAAUACCAUGUUCGAUACUAUUUGUACCAGUUUUGGUCAUCACUAAAGCUUGUGGGGACCAUGGGAAGCUAAUGUGGGUCUCCUAGCGGCGCAAUGGGAUACAUGAUAUCAGCAUGCCAUGCUUCCCCGACUAGGUCAUCGUCGUUGCGCACAGGAAAAGGAAAUUCACAAUUCAUACAAAGGAAUGCCAUUCUUCCUGUUUUUACUCCACUCUUGGCCUGGAUCCAAAGCCCCCCUUCGGUUUUGGAUGUGCUCUCUUAGGGGUAAUGCUGCCAUUGCCAUGGUCCACCACACUCGGUGCUGCAAGGGGGAUUGCCUUCCUGCACGAAGCUGAGAAGCCCGUCAUCUACAGGGAUUUCAAGACAUCCAACAUAUUGCCCGAUGAGGAGUACAAUGCAAAGCUCUCUGACUUCAGCCUAGCGAAAGACUGGACCGGUCAGUGACGAGUCACAUCUUGACCUACAUCAUAGUCUCCUAUGGUUAUACCGCCAUGGAGUACAUCAUGACAGGUAGUAGGUAGCCAUCAUCUUGUCACUGAACUUGAAAGCAGAGCGAUGGGAAUUUUGUAUAUGAAUUCUAAAGUGUUGUGCCGUUGUGUUUUCCAGUCCUUAUUGGUACACACAAAAAAGUAACUAGGAUUCAUAUGUAUAUGCAUCUCCUGCAUUGGUUACA